CCUACGGGAGGCAGCAGUGAGGAAUAUUGGUCAAUGGACGAGAGUCUGAACCAGCCAAGUAGCGUGAAGGAUGACUGCCCUAUGGGUUGUAAACUUCUUUUAUAUGGGAAUAAAACGUUCCACGUGUGGGAUUUUGUAUGUACCAUAUGAAUAAGGAUCGGCUAACUCCGUGCCAGCAGCCGCGUUAAUACGGAGGAUCCGAGCGUUAUCCGGAUUUAUUGGGUUUAAAGGGAGCGUAGGUGGAUUGUUAAGUCAGUUGUGAAAGUUUGCGGCUCAACCGUAAAAUUGCAGUUGAAACUGGCAGUCUUGAGUACAGUAGAGGUGGGCGGAAGUCGGGGUGUAGCGGUGAAAUGCUUAGAUAUCACGAAGAACUCCGAUUGCGAAGGCAGUUCACUGGACUGCAACUGACACUGAGGCUCGAAAGUGUGGGUAUCAAACAGGAUUAGAUACCCUGGUAGUC
rnacentral:rRNA from 1 species